GCGAUUCUGACUAACAUUUUUUAUCGGAUUCGUAUUUGCUCAUUUUGUAUCCAUUUGGCAUGAAGAAGAUAUCAUUCAACAGCUAAAAGCAUGAUCUUUCCGAAUGUGAAAAAAAACGUUCAUACGCAAAGCGCUCUGAAGUUCGAUUACCUUUUUUUGAUACACCCUGUACAAGAAGAAACUGUGCGAAUAAUAUCGUUCGCGGAAAGCACAACCACACAGAUCCUAUAUGUAUAUAUGGUUCCGAAUUCUCUCAGAUUCGUGUAAACGCGUGCGCAAAUACGUUAUCGUGAACGUUUAUCCUGCAGUGUUUAUUUACAAAACCCGUCG